rnacentral:rRNA from 1 species
GAUGAACGCUGGCGGCGCGCCUAAUACAUGCAAGUAGAACGCUGAAGGAAGGAGCUUGCUCUUUCCGGAUGAGUUGCGAACGGGUGAGUAACGCGUAGGUAACCUGCCUGGUAGCGGGGGAUAACUAUUGGAAACGAUAGCUAAUACCGCAUAACAGUAGAUGUUGCAUGAUAUCUACUUAAAAGGUGCAAUUGCACCACUACCAGAUGGACCUGCGUUGUAUUAGCUAGUUGGUGAGGUAACGGCUCACCAAGGCGACGAUACAUAGCCGACCUGAGAGGGUGAUCGGCCACACUGGGACUGAGACACGGCCCAGACUCCUACGGGAGGCAGCAGUAGGGAAUCUUCGGCAAUGGACGGAAGUCUGACCGAGCAACGCCGCGUGAGUGAAGAAGGUUUUCGGAUCGUAAAGCUCUGUUGUAAGAGAAGAACGAGUGUGAGAGCGGAAAGUUCACACUGUGACGGUAUCUUACCAGAAAGGGACGGCUAACUACGUG